UAUUCCUACGGGAGGCAGCAGUGAGGAAUAUUGGUCAAUGGGCGGGAGCCUGAACCAGCCAGGUCGCGUGAGGGACGACGGUCCUAUGGAUUGUAAACCUCUUUUGUCGGGGAACAAAGGCGCCCACGGGUGGGCGGAUGAGUGUACCCGAAGAAAAAGCAUCGGCUAACUCCGUGCCAGCAGCCGCGGUAAUACGGAGGAUGCGAGCGUUAUCCGGAUUUAUUGGGUUUAAAGGGUGCGUAGGCGGACAGUCAAGGAAGCGGUAAAAAGGCGGUGCUCAA
rnacentral:rRNA from 1 species